rnacentral:rRNA from 1 species
AGAUUAAGUUAUUAAGGGCGCACGGUGGAUGCCUUGGCACUAGAAGCCGAUGAAGGACGUUACUAACGACGAUAUGCUUUGGGUAGCUGUAAGUAAGCGUUGAUCCAGAGAUUUCCGAAUGGGGGAACCCAGCAUGAGUUAUGUCAUGUUA